rnacentral:rRNA from 1 species
AGCGACAGAAGAAAGCACCGGCUAACUCCGUGCCAGCAGCCGCGGUAAUACGGAGGGUGCGAGCGUUAAUCGGAAUUACUGGGCGUAAAGACGCAUGCAGGUGGUUUGUUAAGUCAGAUGUGAAAGACCCGGGGCGUCAACCUACGGAAUAGCAUUUGUAAACUAGGCAGACUAGAGUACUGUAGAGGGGGGUAGGAAUUUCAGGUGUAGCGGUGAAAUAGCGUAGAGAUCUGAAGGAAUACCGGUGGCGAAGGCGGCCCCCUCGGACAGAUACUGACACUCAGAUGCGAAAGCGUGGGGAGCAAACAGGAUUAGAUACCCUGGUAG